CUUCAGUGAUGAUACGAUGACGAGACAGAAUAGCACUGUCUGGCUCUUGUGGCGCCUGGUUCAGGGCUAUGUUUUGUAGUUCUGUCUCAGUUCCCAAGAGCUGGAAGUCCUGUUCAAAUGAAGACAAAAGAGGCAUUUGUCUGAGAAGG
rnacentral:snoRNA from 1 species